rnacentral:rRNA from 1 species
AAACCGAUAGCGAACAAGUACCGUGAGGGAAAGUUGAAAAGUACUCUGAAUAGAGAGUUAAAUAGUACGUGAAACCGCUUAGGGGUUAAGCCCGAUGAACCCGAAUAUCUGAUGUGAGAAAUUCAAUACGAUUCAAAUUCAGUUUUUAUAUUGGAUUUGUAUAGUAUGCACUUUUCUCAUAGUAAGACAUUGUAAUCCAUUGAUAUUAUAUCUCAUAUGAGAUGAUUUAACAUACGGACAAAAUGUUUAUGAUUAUUCUAUCAGUGAUGUGUUUACAUAUCAUAUGAAUAAAAUCGUUUUGUUUCCUGUUUAAAUAGUCGAUGGAUUUUUCAUUGAAAUCAUGCUUGCAAUUUAUUUUGCGUUUCGUAUCAUUAAUUUUUAAUUGGUGACAGCAGAAAUGGCAUGUAUUCGAUUAACAAUGCGAUAGAUUUGGGAUACUUUCAGGACCCGUCUUGA